UGGAAGGAGGCUCAUAAUCUUAUGUGAUUGUAGUUUUUACUAAUGAAGAAUGUUUAAAGGUGUCAAAAAGCCGGGUGUUAGAGCCAAGCGGUCUCGUUUCACACCACCGAGACGGUCCACGAGUUCCUAUUAGGCUGGAAGACUCUAUUUUUGAAACAGUGUGUGAUCGUCCCCAUCUAGUGGCUCUAAAACAGAUUGAGAUAGCCCCCAAGUGGACAGUGGGAAGCCCUACCUGCAAACCUACUCUACAAACAGGCUGCUAAGCCCAGGAAGACAGAGAAAGAACACACAUCAGUACCACUCUCCUUGAAAUAUAAGGCCACAUGGGAAAUGCUGGCCUAUGGUGCGGGAGGAGGGUAGAUACCCAAACCAGGAUUAAAAAGCCAACCGACCCUAUUUACACGUAAGAUAUUGGUUCUCUCCUCUCUUCUUCCCACCCCACCCCAGGCCAGUCACAAGGUGCGUUGGGAAGACAACAUCCUGUUCUUGAGAAGCUUGAAUUGAUGGUCACACCUGAAACAUCAAAGGCUUUAGAAGCUGAAUCGGAUCCACUGUAUUCAUCUAACAACAUCCCCUUUGGCUUACCCAGAGGAGUCAUCAGUGGAAAGUUCUAAUGCAAUAGCCAUUUCAUGUAUGGCUCUAAGAAAGUGCCCCAUCCAAGAAAACAAGGGCAAUCUGUGCCCCUCCCCACCAUACCUUGGCCUGUUUCCACAUUCUUUAACUAUACUAGCUAACAAGCUGAGGAAUAUAACUGAAGUAUGUUCCUAAGUUCUGUGAGCCAUUCUGGCAAAUUAUCGACCCUGAGAAGGAAGUGGUGGGUGUCUCAAAUUGAACACAAAGAAGAUACCACACUUGCCUGCCUACUUCUUUGAUGUGUGCCUUUUUUCCCAAAGUCAACUUUUUCAUGUUAUUUCACAGUAAAAUCUGCUUCUCCUCUGACUCAGACAAACCAUUUCUGACCACAGUCUUCAUAUUUGAGUCCUACU
rnacentral:lncRNA from 1 species